GCCAGCAGCCGCGGUAAUACGUAGGUGGCAAGCGUUGUCCGGAUUUAUUGGGCGUAAAGCGAGCGCAGGCGGUUUUUUAGGUCUGAUGUGAAAGCCUUCGGCUUAACCGGAGAAGUGCAUCGGAAACCGGGAGACUUGAGUGCGGAAGAGGACAGUGGAACUCCAUGUGUAGCGGUGAAAUGCGUAGAUAUAUGGAAGAACACCAGUGGCGAAGGCGGCUGUCUGGUCUGCAACUGACGCUGAGGCUCGAAAGCAUGGGUAGCGAACAGGAUUAGAUACCCUGGUAGUCCAUGCCGUAAACGAUGAGUGCUAAGUGUUGGAGGGUUUCCGCCCUUCAGUGCCGCAGCUAACGCAUUAAGCACUCCGCCUGGGGAGUACGACCGCAAGGUUGAAACUCAAAGGAAUUGACGGGGGCCCGCACAAGCGGUGGAGCAUGUGGUUUAAUUCGAUGCUACGCGAAGAACCUUACCAGGUCUUGACAUCUUCUGCUAACCUAAGAGAUUAGGCGUUCCCUUCGGGGACGGAAUGACAGGUGGUGCAUGGUUGUCGUCAGCUCGUGUCGUGAGAUGUUGGGUUAAGUCCCGCAACGAGCGCAACCCUUAUUGUCAGUUGCCAGCAUUUAGUUGGGCACUCUGGCGAGACUGCCGGUGACAAACCGGAGGAAGGUGGGGAUGACGUCAAAUCAUCAUGCCCCUUAUGACCUGGGCUACACACGUGCUACAAUGGACGGUACAACGAGUCGCGAAACCGCGAGGUCAAGCUAAUCUCUGAAAGCCGUUCUCAGUUCGGAUUGCAGGCUGCAACUCGCCUGCAUGAAGUUGGAAUCGCUAGUAAUCGUGGAUCAGCAUGCCACGGUGAAUACGUUCCCGGGCCUUGUACGCACCGCCCGUCACACCAUGAGAGUUUGUAACACCCAAAGCCGGUGAGGUAACCUUCGGGAGCCAGCCGUCUAAGGUGGGACAGAUGAUUAGGGUGAAGUCGUAACAAGGUAGCCGUAGGAGAACCUGCGGCUGGAUCACCUCCUUUCUAA
rnacentral:rRNA from 1 species